AUUCAGCUGACGAGUCACAAAAAGGACGAAACACGCGUCCUGUAU
rnacentral:hammerhead_ribozyme from 1 species